UACAGAGGUCUCAAGCGUUGUUCGGAUUCAUUGGGCGUAAAGGGUGCGUAGGUGGCGCCGUAAGUCAGGUGUGAAAUUUCGGAGCUUGACUCCGAAACUGCAUUUGAUACUGCGGUGCUUGAGGACUGGAGAGGAGACUGGAAUUUACGGUGUAGCAGUGAAAUGCGUAGAGAUCGUAAGGAAGACCAGUGGCGAAGGCGGGUCUCUGGACAGUUCCUGACACUGAGGCACGAAGGCCAGGGGAGCAAACGGG
rnacentral:rRNA from 1 species